rnacentral:rRNA from 1 species
GAUUCAUGAUAACUUAACGAAUCGCAUGGCCUUGUGCCGGCGAUGGUUCAUUCAAAUUUCUGCCCUAUCAACUUUCGAUGGUAGGAUAGUGGCCUACCAUGGUUUCAACGGGUAACGGGGAAUUAGGGUUCUAUUCCGGAGAGGGAGCCUGAGAAACGGCUACCACAUCCAAGGAAGGCAGCAGGCGCGCAAAUUACCCAAUCCCGACACGGGGAGGUAGUGACAAUAAAUACUGAUACAGGGCCCUUUCGGGUCUUGUAAUUGGAAUGAGUACAAUUUAAAUCCCUUAACGAGGAACAAUUGGAGGGCAAGUCUGGUGCCAGCAGCCGCGGUAAUUCCAGCUCCAAUAGCGUAUAUUAAAGUUGUUGCAGUUAAAAAGCUCGUAGUUGAACCUUGGGUCUGGCUGGCCGGUCCGCCUCACCGCGUGCACUGGUCCGGCCGGACCUUUCCUUCUGGCUAACCUCAUGCCCUUCACUGGGUGUGGCGGGGAACCAGGACUUUUAC